rnacentral:tRNA from 1 species
GCAGUUAUGGCGGAAUUGGCAGACGCGUAUGAUUCAGGUUCAUAUUCUUAACGGAGUGAGGGUUCGAAUCCCUUUAACUGCA